GUUCCUGCUCCUCUGACCUGGUAGGAAGCUCUUGCCCGGUGCUGACCCUCCUCCCAGCACUACACGGUGACCAAGGUGGAAGGAACCGCAGGAGGACUGGACCUGCCUAGCCGUGCGACUGGCCAGCGUUCAUUUUUCCCCUGCACCAUCCUGCCCCCUGCUGCUUGACUGGCCAAGACAUGGUGUUUUAAAGGCAGCAGUUCUUCCAGAUAGCUCUGCUUCUCUGCAGUUGAUGUCCGCAAGG